UACGGGGGGGGCAAGCGUUGUUCGGAAUUAUUGGGCGUAAAGGGCGCGUAGGCGGCUUGGCAAGUGGAUGGUGAAAUCCCUCGGCUUAACCGAGGAACUGCCGUCCAAACUGCUUCGCUUGAGACCGGGAGAGGUGAGUGGAAUUCCCAGUGUAGCGGUGAAAUGCGUAGAUAUUGGGAGGAACACCAGUGGCGAAGGCGGCUCACUGGACCGGUACUGACGCUGAUGCGCGAAAGCGUGGGGAGCAAACGGG
rnacentral:rRNA from 1 species